UCUGAGAAGAAAUAGAACCCUUUUGAAAGA
rnacentral:piRNA from 1 species